CUCUUAUCAAGAGUGGCGGAGGGACUGGCCCGAUGAAGCCCGGCAACCUGCAGAGCACGUCUCUGCGUGGUGCCAACACCUGCGGCGAAAGCCGAGUGAUAAGAG
rnacentral:ncRNA from 2 species